GCAGUGGUAUAAGUGGCAGGUAAUUAAAAAAUAAAGAUAGUCGCUCAUGUGUCGUUCACGUGACACCGUUAUUGGAUAACACCACAUAUUGCAUAGUUGGUUAAACGAAAGAAGCAGCAGGUUCCUGGAGAUUGAAUGUCAACCAAAUCUCAUUGACUCUGUUCCUGAACUCAAACGGCGAAUUGUACUGCGCCACGAUGUAGUGAGUGGCGUUCUCCCCUCCAUGGCUCCUAUCAAUGGCGUCCGACCAAACAGUCCCGGCGACGGCGGCGUACAACGCAGCAGCUUCCUCUCCGACUUGGUCGUCCUUGACGAACCCACUGAACUGCCUGACGGCUACGUAGGUGAGCCCCCAUUUCUGGACCCAAAGGGUUUCACUGGAAGGCGCAGUGGCUUGGUUCUGUUUCGGAAUGAAGAAGCUCACCACGAAGGAUGAAGCACAGAAAGGUCCAUCGCUAGGUCUCACUUCGAUUAUCACCGGCGCCGUCAUUUCUAUCUUUUCAUGGUUGCUGUUCUUGCCUUGGAUGUAAUCAAAUAGCCUAUAUAUUUAUAUCAAGUACAUAAUAUGUAAAACUUGAAUCAAAGGCCUAAGCAUCAAUUACCCAAACUAAACUAACACUCAUUGAUUAAUUUGAUCAAAUAAACUCCAACCAGUUUCUAUAAAAAGCAUUGGAGAGUACAAUAUUAGCUGUUGAAAAAUAAAUGAGAGUUCAGGAAGGUUCAUUGAGUUAUAUACCCACAGUUUGAGUGUUGAAUUAGUCAUGAAUCAUGAUUGCCCCGCUUUCGAAANUAUUACUAUUACUAUUUUUAAGUAAUAAAUAAACAAGAAAAUAGAAGAAAAGUAAUUAAAAAUAUAGUUAAAGCUAUAUUUGGCAUACAUAACGGUAAAGAAUUGUUAUGUAUUAUGACAAAGAUAACGAUAAAACCGUUGUGUAAAGUAUAAAAAACUGUUAACUAUGAUGGAAAAAAAUAAAUAUAUUUCUAAUACAUAACGGUAAAAUCAUUAAUACAUAACGGGAGAAACCGUUAUGUAUAAUUGUUAAAGAUAAAAGAUAUAUACCGUUACGUAUGAGCGCAUAUACCGUUAUCUAUACGACUAUACAUAACGGUUUUUUUACCGUUAUGUAUGACCGUAUCAUAGAUAUCACCACUAUACUUAUCGGUUUUGUGGGGUCAAAAUCCGUUAUCUAUGAGCGUUUUUGUAGUAGUGAAUGGUGAUGCUAAUUUUUGUAUGGUACUAAUAUUUUGUACGUUGUGACAUCUUGAGUUUAUUAGAUUUGAGAAAUUGGUGAUCUAGACUGUUGUUUUCAUGAGUUAUUUUAUGUUAAUUUUAGUUCAUUCUUUUUACGUAAUUUUAUUUAUAUGCGUGAUUAAUGUCGUAAGAAAUAAAAAGAAAUAAAUUUUUGAAGUUUAUAAAAUUUUAAAAGGGCUGGUCUCCUGUGCGACGGUCGCACAGGAGUGCGACGGUCGCACAGGAGUGCGACGGGUUGACCCGGCCCAAACCCGCCCUCCUGACCCGGAACCCGCCCAAACCCGGAACCCGCCCAAACUCCUAAUUAUUACAUUUGUGUAUAACAAUUGUUACUUUUAAUAAACAUGAUAUAUACAUUUGUUCGCACAAAUGUAUAUUUAUAUAAAUAUAGGUAUUUUCCUUCAUUUAAUAUACAGUAUUAUAUUUUCUAAACCCUAAAUUCUAUAAACUAAACCCUAAACCCUGUAAACUAAACCCUAAGCGUGAACACUAAACCCUAAUAGGUGAAAACUAAACCCUAAUAGGUGAAAACUAAACCCUAAGCAUAAGAUAUACAUUUGGUCGCACAAAUGUAUACUUAUAUUAAUAUAAAUAUUUACCUUCAUUCAAUAUAAAACAUUAUACAUAUCAAUAUACAUUUAUAUGAACAAAUGUAUAUAUUAUGUUUAUGAAAAGUAACAAUUGUUAUGCACAAAUGUAAUAAUUAGGAGUUUGGGCGGGUUCCGGGUUUGGGCGGGUUCCGGGUCAGGAGGGCGGGUUUGGGCCGGGUCAACCCGUCGCACUCCUGUGCGACCGUCGCACAGGAGAAUUUGCGAUUUUAAAAAUGAUCAAGAAAAAUGAUAUAAUCAAGAAAAAUAGCGAAUGGGUCGAAGAUGAGCCAAGCAUGUCGAGCAAUAAUAUUAUACUAGAAAUAAAUUACAGUUCAAUGUGAGGAUUCAAUGAAUACCUCAUGACAGGUGUUAGAGUACGUGAUACAAAAAAAACAUCAUUAAUUUGCAGACUGUCCCAGAAUAUUGUAUGUACCACGUGUACCACUCUUCAUUUCUUUGUCAUUAUUAUAAACUCUAAUUAGUAUUUAUCAUUGAAAAAUUAAAAUUUAAAAAAUUAUAUACCCUAACUUUGAAUUAAUGAACCCAAAUAAUCUAUUAUUAAUUUAAACAAAUAUAAAAAAUAAUUAUAAACCCUAAAUAGAUGAGUAAACCCUUCUUAAUUAUCUUUAUAUUAUAUAAAAGCAUAAUAAAUUAAACGUGAAUAAAAAAUAAUUUAAAAAUAUAAAGAAAUAAGAGUGGUACACACUAUAUUUUAGACGAGAUCCAUUUGAUUAACUUGGAUCGACCUAGUUGAGUAUAUUGGGUACGAUUCAAUGAUAUUAGUGUAUUAAUUAACUUUUAUGUGUAUUUUCUUUAUUUUUAAAUUAGCAUGUUAGUUAAAUAUGAGGCGUGGUAUAAGGGCAGGUAAUUAAAAAAUAAAGAUAGUGCUCUGUGUCGUUCACGUGACACCGUUAUUGGAUAACACCAUAUAUUGCAUAGUGGAACACAUCUUAGUUGGUUAAACGAAAGAAGCAGCAGGUUCCUGGAGAUUGAAUGUCAACCAAAUCUCAUUGACUCUGUUCCUGAACUCAAACGGCGAAUUGUACUGCGCCACGAUGUAGUGAGUGGCGUUCUCCCCUCCAUGGCUCCUAUCAAUGGCGUCCGACCAAACAGUCCCGGCGACGGCGGCGUACAACGCAGCAGCUUCCUCUCCGACUUGGUCGUCCUUGACGAACCCACUGAACUGCCUGACGGCUACGUAGGUGAGCCCCCAUUUCUGGACCCAAAGGGUUUCACUGGAAGGCGCAGUGGCUUGGUUCUGUUUCGGAAUGAAGAAGCUCACCACGAAGGAUGAAGCACAGAAAGGUCCAUCGCUAGGUCUCACUUCGAUUAUCACCGGCGCCGUCAUUUCUAUCUUUUCAUGGUUGCUGUUCUUGCCUUGGAUGUAAUCAAAUAGCCUAUAUAUAUAUAUAUCAAGUACAUAAUAUGUAAAACUUGAAUCAAAUGCCUAAGCAUCAAAUUA
rnacentral:lncRNA from 1 species